rnacentral:rRNA from 1 species
GACGAACGCUGGCGGCGUGCUUAACACAUGCAAGUCGAACGGAAAGGCCCUGCGCUUGUGGGGUGCUCGAGUGGCGAACGGGUGAGUAACACGUGAGUAACCCGCCCUUGACUUUGUGAUAACUUCAGGAAACUGGGGCUAAUAUCGGAUAGGAGCUCCUGCAGCAUGGUGGGGGAUGGAAAGUUUCGGCGGUUGGGGAUGGACUCGCGGCUUAUGAGCUAGUUGGUGUGGUAGGGGCUUUCAAAGGCUUUGACGGGUAGCCGGCAUGGGAGGGUGACCGGCCACAUGGGGACUGAGAUACGGACCAGACUCCUACGGGAGGCAGCAGGGGGGAAUAUUGCACAAUGGGCGGAAGCCUGAUGCAGCAACGCUGCGUGCGGGAUGACGGCCUACGGGGUGUAAACAGCUUUCGCAUGUGACGAAGAGUGAGUGACGGUAAUGGGUAAAGAAGCACCGGCUAACUACGUG